rnacentral:rRNA from 1 species
GACGAACGCUGGCGGCGUGCCUAAUACAUGCAAGUGGAACGCAUGAUUGAUACCGUAGCUUGCUACACCAUUAAUCAUGAGUCGCGAACGGGUGAGUAACGCGUAGGUAACCUGCCUACUAGCGGGGUAUAACUAUUGGAAACGAUAGCUAAUACCGCAUAAGAGUUGUUAACACAUGUUAGAAAUUUAAAAGGAGCCAUUGCUUCACUAGUAGAUGGCACUGCGUUGUAUUAGUUAGUUGGUAAGGUAACGGCUUACCAAGGCGACGAUACAUAGCCGACCUGAGAGGGUGAUCGGCCACACUGGGACUGAGACACGGCCCAGACUCCUACGGGAGGCAGCAGUAGGGAAUCUUCGGCAAUGGGGGGAACCCUGACCGAGCAACGCCGCGUGAGUGAAGAAGGUUUUCGGAUCGUAAAGCUCUGUUGUAAGAGAAGAACGUUGAGUAGAGUGGAAAGUUACUCAAGUGACGGUAUCUUACCAGAAAGGGACGGCUAACUACGUGCCAGCCGCCGCAGUAA